rnacentral:tRNA from 1 species
GGGAUUGUGGCUCAGCGGUAGAGCACUCGCCUAGCAUGCGCAGAGCUCUGGGUUCGAUCCUCAGCAACACA